rnacentral:lncRNA from 1 species
UAAAUGUUUUAUGGAGUUAUGUUAUUCAAUUUAGUUGUUCAUUGCAAAUGACUAUAUAUAGAAAGACUCUUACCAUAUUCACUAAAUCUUUAUCAAAUCAACACUUAAAAGCCAGUUUGUAAAUUGCAAAGAUAAUCAUAGAAUGAAGAGUCAUAAAUUGCAUGAGAAGGAAAUCAAAGUCUUGCAAGAAACUUCCUCAUUGCUCACAACUUAACAUCAGUUCUUGAAAGGAGACACAAAUGCAAUGCAAGACAAGAUACAAGCUUCUGAUUAGAAUCCAAAGAAAGGUGAAUUUGUUGUCAAUCACAAAAGAACCAAACACAAUUGCAAUUCAAAGCUGGUCUUUAUUGGUUGCAUGAUCUAUGAUUCUCAAAUACAAAAGAAUAAAAAUUUGAAAAGAAAAGAAAUUUCCUAAUAAAGCUAGUCGAAGUUAUUCUCAAAGGUCAUACACCACUUACCUUAAAUAUGUCACCAAGGGCGGCUACACAUAAAACCCGGAUCUGCUCUAUGAAUUUCAUUUCAAAUGAAUAUAGAUAACUUACAAUGCAAUAUGAUUUGAGAAGUUUGUAAGAGAGGGCAGCAAUGAUAUAUUUUUGGAGGAAAGACAGGAAGAAAAAUAUGAUAUCCAUGAAACCUUUACCAAAAUUUAAGUUAAAAAUAUGAGAUAUGAGAAAAGGGACUUAUGAUAUCCAUGGAAUUUUUAAUCAAGGCAAAAUCUAAAGGCAUCAUAUCAUAAUUUUCAUGGAAAGGAAAUAGAGCACAACUUACUUUUGUGUCCACGCAUUCAAUUCAUAAUUUGGUUCUCAAACUGAUAGUCUCAAAAGUAUCUAUGCCCAAACUUAAUCCUGCAACAUUAUGCCACAAAAGCUUACAAAAAUUUAAAACAAGGCUUUAUAUGAGACUAAAUCAAGUAGCUUAGGAUGAGAAGAACUAAGGGUAUAACUGAACUUACCUCCGACCCUUAAUAGAUAUAUGUGGAAUGUGGGAAAUCUUGGACCAUUCAGGGCCACUCUCCCUCUUACAUCUUGUCUUUAAUUGAGGACAAAAUAGAAUGUUAAUUCUUUCUAAUUUGGAGAGGCUUCGCAUAACAUCAACAGAAGGCAGGUACAUGAGCUUUGGGCAAAAUUUCAUAGUCAGACGCUUUAGGGAAGAAAGUUUUCCCAACCACUCUGGAAAGGCUUCUAUUCCUUGAAACUCUUCUAUCCUCAAUGCUUCGAGGGCAGUGAAGAACUGAAGUUGGUGAGGAAGACUCUUUAGCUUUUCCCAACCAAUCAGUUUUAGAUCUAGAAGUGAGGCACUGAGAUAUUGAAUGGAAAAGGGCCAUGGGAAUUCUUGCAGCUCUUCUGAGAAACCACCGAUAGCUAAAUCUCUCAAGCAGUUAAGCCUAACAAGGCUGGCAUCUUGAAUCCAUGUCCGAUCAGGCAAAUUUAAUAUUGUUAGACUGCAAAGGUAAACGUUGGAUUGCAACAUAUUUGGUAGCAGACGACUCCAUUCUUCGCCUACUUUCCCAAAUUCUAAUUCUGUGAGAGAAGAGAGUCCAUCUAAACUUGGAAUGGGCUUCAAAUUAGGGCAAUCACGUAUCAUCAAUUUUUUAAGGGAUGACAGGGGUGCUUUUAGUGGAAAGCUCUCCAAUUUGUCACAGCCAUCAACUGAUAGAUUUUCAAGAGAUGAAAAUCCUUCCAAAUUUGGGAUCGAACUUAAAUUAGGACAAUCUUCUAGCUCUAAUUCUUUGAGACAAGUGGAGGUAGAUAAUCCAUCUCCAAUCUUGCUUAAUUUUUCACAACUGGAAAUGCGAAGCCCUUCAAGAGAUGAACAUCCUCCAGUUAUUGGAAGAACUUCCAAUUGUUGCAACUUUCAACAGACAGAAAUUGAAGAGAGGAAAAUCCUUCCAAAUUUGGGAUCGAACUUAAAUUAGAACAAUCUUUUAGAUCUAAUUCUUUGAGACAAGUGGAGGUAGAUAAUCCAUCUCCAAUCUUGCUUAAUUUUUUACAACUGGAAAUGAGAAGCAUUACAAGAGAUGAACAUCCUCCAGUUAUUGGAAGAACUUCCAAUUUGUUGCAACGUAGAACUGACAGAUCUUGAAGAGAGGAAAAUCCUUCCAAAUUUGGGAUCGAACUUAAAUUAGGACAAUCUUCUAGAUCUAAUUCUUCGAGACAAGUGGAGGUAGAUAAUCCAUCUCCAAUCUUGCUUAAUUUUUUACAACUGGAAAUGCGAAGCUUUUCAAGAGAUGAACACCCUCCGCUUAUAGGAAGAACUUCCAAUUUGUAGCACACUCGAACUGACAGAUAUUGAAGAGAGGAAAAUCCUUCCAAAUUUGGGAUCGAACUUAAAUUAGGACAGUCUUCUAGCUCUAAUUCUUUGAGACAAGUGGAGGUAGAUAAUCCAUCUCCAAUCUUGCUUAAUUUUUCACAACGGAAAAUGCUAAGCUUUUCAAGAGAAUAACAUUGUCCCGUCAGUGGAACACUUUUCAACAGGGGACAAUCCCAAAUCUUCAGCCGCUCCAAGCAAGGAAACAUGAUCGUCUUUGUUUCCGCCAUCGCUGUCCAUUCUUCUAGACUUUCCAUCCCACUUAAGGUGAAUUUUUUCAAUGCAGGAAAGACCUUGAUCACCUUAUUCAUACCAUCAACACCUUCGUUGCAAUAAAAUUCAUUACCCAUGCGUUUCACUUUCUUCAGAUUUCUCAACUUAAGAUACUGGAGAUUGUGCAAUUGGCCCAGAGGUGGAAGACUUUCACAGUUGAUGCCAUUGAAAAUGUUCAGCUCCAUCAAAUUGUUAGCAAAAACUGAUCAGUAUUAGAAUCACCAACAGGUCUUAACAUCCAUGAGGGAAAGCUUUCACCUUCAUAAUUCCUAACAAUUAAGCUUUGCAAAUUUGAGUGAGGUUGGAGACCUUCCAUCACUUCCUCACUGUUAUAACCACCACUCCCACCAUGACUCACUUCAAAACCAAAUAUCAACUUGCACAAUUUUCCUUUAAGGCGUAGAUUUGCUCCAUUAGCCUCUUGUUUGUCUCUAACACCCCGAAGAUGGCAUAUCUUCAGUUCUCCACGCAGUUUGUUUAGGGAUCCUAACUCCUUAAUCGAACGUCCCCUUUCUGAUCCCACAAAAAAUAUGGGUAAUGUUUGAAGACAAGUUAGGUUUCCAAUAUUAACUGGCUGAAGUUCUUUUCUAUCAAAAUACAAGUGCUUCAAGCUUAUCAAAAUUUCCAAUCCAUCUGGAAGUGUGAGUCCCGGUAAACCCAAGAGCCUCAAUGUUUGCAGAUUGUAAAGUUUGGUUGUGGACUUAGGCAGUGCUUUGAUAGAAGUCCUUGAGAUGUCCAAAUACCUCAAGUGCUUUAAUUCUCCAAGGGAAUCUGGCAACUCACAAAUAUUAGCAGCACCAACAAACUUUAGGACUCUUAAUCUUGUGAAGCUUUUUGGCAGUUUCUUGAACACAUCAAUCUCUGAAAACAACGAGUAUAAUUUUGGAGCAACCACCGUUAAAAUUUCUGGUAAUGAUUCCCCAUUACACCCAACAUUGAGAUGACGAAUAUGAGAACACUCAUUCGAGGCGAGAGUGGAAUUCUCUUGAAAAAACAAAGUAUCAAACUUUGACACAGACAAAGAUAAAUCAUGCACCGAGUCGUGCAUCUUGAAUGUGAGAAUAUUCCCAAAUUUGUCCUUCUCGACAUCUUGAAAUAAGGAAUUUGAUAACAACUCAUUCAAGUAUUUGUCACCAAUAUCCACCAUUGCCAUAGAGCUGCCAAGAAAUACUUCAGCCAUCCACAGUUGGAUCAAUUCCUCUUUUUCAAAGAAAUAAUCUUUAGGAAACAUGGCAGAGUAUGCAAAACACUUCUUCAAAGGUGGAGAAGACAAGUGAUCGAAACUUAACUUUAACACCCUUUCCAUUGAACCCGAUGCAUCACUUCUUUGAAUUUUCGACCAUGCGCAAGGACUCCUUUCGAUUUUGCGCAUUAUCCCUCCCAUAAGUUUAGCUACCAAUGGCACACCUCGACAUUGCUUAGCAAUUUCAUUUCCAAUUAACUCUAAUUCGUGAGACAUUGGAGAGGCCCUUAGUGCUUGUUGUUUUAUUAGGGACCAGCAUUCUUCAUCUCCUAGUCUUCCUGGUUGAUGCCUUUGAUUUGGAAGUGCUUGCACUUUUGACGCUACAUCUUGAAUGCGUGUUGUCACAAUAACUCCAUUCCCACCAUUUUUACUGAUUUCCAUCAGAUGAUCCUUCAGUGCGUCCCAUUUUUCAAAACUCCACACAUCAUCAAGUACAAGAAGAUACUUGAUCUGAUCCUUUUCUCGUUUGGCCCGUUCAAUCUUCUCCUUGAGUUUCUCAACCAUUGCAUUCAUAUUUUGAGGAAUUGAGAUCUGAUCAUCAGUAAAAUGCUCUAACAUCUCUUUUAAAAUCCUCUUGACAUCAAAAUGAUCAGAAACACACACCCAGAAUUUGACAUCGAAAUGUGCUGCCACAUUCGAAUCAUUGUACACCAGCUUUGCUAAAGUAGUUUUGCCAAGACCUGCCAUGCCUACUAUUGGCACAAAAGAAACAAUCUGUUCAUCUUUGGGAUUGACUAACAGGUCAACUACUUUUGAGACAUCAUUUUUCCUUCCAAUAAUGUCUAAGCCCGUGAGGACGGAGCUCGUCUCCUCCUCUCGUCGUCCAUACUCAGGAUCUGGAUCGGUAGCUCUCUUUUGGAGACCAAAAUCAGUGGCCAAUUUGUUAAGGUCAUCCAGUGUUUUAAGGAUGUCCUUAAUUUUAUUAGCCAUGUUGCGACGAAAUACAAAGGGAUUGGAGGGAGAACAAAAGUCUCGUACCUUCCUCCUAAUUUGGUUUCGAAUCUCCACUUUCCUUCGGAGAAUUUCAUAAGCAAACUCAUCAAGGACAUCAUCGGCCUCGUAAGCAACAUCUUUGAGCCUAUGUAACCAAACCUUCACUGCUUCGUUCUUUGUUUGCCUUUCCUCUGCAUCUUGAAAGAAAGCUUUGAUCAGUUGUAGUGAGUCACCCAGUCUUUUCAGCUCCUUCUUGAAACCCAAUGCAAGGCCGAUUCGUUCAGCGGCAAUAGAAAUCAGUUUAGACACCACUCCUUCUAGGACAGCAGCCAAAAGAGCUUCUGCCAUCUUUGCUUCUGCAAUCUGAAAGGUCUGAAAUGUAAGGAAAUAUUUUUUCUUUAAAAAAUCCCACUCGAAAUAAAGAGGAAAAGAAGAAAUUCGUAACUCGGAAAAUUAAAGCAACAGGAUACUGAGUCCAGGAAAUGAAAUAGAGCUGAAGAUGAACUGGUUCAGUAAAAGUGAACUGAAUUGUGUUUUGUGUAUUAAAUAUAUGACAUUGUUUUGGGAUUUUUAGAACAUAUAAGCUUAUUGGGUGGGCCGUGUUUGAAAUUGGGCUUGAUUUUUUAAAAUUGUUGCAAUCCGAUCCAUAAACACUUACUAAAAAAAUAAGAAUUGGUGGCAAAGAAGUAGAACAAUGGGUGUAAAGAGAGCUAGGUGUGAAGUACAUAAGUGGUUAUUAUAUUUUUGUUAUUAAAUAUGUAUAAGUAUUUGUGUAAUUAAUUUCUAAUUGAUAUACUAAUUAAAAACUAAUAUUAAUGUACAAAAAUUACAUAUUAGGAUUAUGAUCAUUUAAAUUACUUUAUAGAUAAUUUUUUUUGACAUCUUAUUUUUUAGAAAAGAAAGUGAUCUAUUUUAAAAUAUUAUUAUGUUAAUUUGAAACAUAAAAAUAAUAAGAUUUAAGUAUUUCAACAUAUCAUAAAUUCGAGUAUAAUUUUACAUCUAUUUUUUUAUUUUUUAUGAUCUGACUAGAUAGUUUCUAGUUAAUUAAUAAUAAAGUAAUGGUUUAAUUAAUUCAACUAAUGAAAAAUAAUCAAAAUUGUUUGUGAGCAUACGAAAACUGAAAACCUGAAAAACUAGUAAAAACUUGAAACAAAUAUAUAUUAUUUUAAUAUAAUAUAGUAAUUCAGCUCGAAUUUAUAAAAACUUUUAAAUUAUUUUUGAGAGAUUUUAAUGGGUAGAUAACAUUGGUCACAUCAUUAAAUUUUAACAGGAUUUAGGUUUAGGGACCAAACCGAAAUUAGUUGUCAACUUCAAGUACCAAAGUGGACCAAUAAAAAAUACAGAUAUCAAAAUAGACUAGGGUAAAAAUUAUAUUAUCCCUUACAGAUAUUGUAGGGGAUGUUUAAUUACAUCAAUUUCUUUGAUGUUUAAUUACAUAGAAUAGCUGUCGACAAAGAAGCAACUUUUUAGUUACAAUCUAAAAAUCAUAGAAUUUAGUUCUAAUUAAAAGUUGGCUUAAUAAUCACUUUAGUUCUUGAACACGAGAUCAUUGUCUUUUGGAAUGAUAUCACUUACAGUAGUUGUUUUAUAAUUUAAUCAAUCGAAAUUUAUAUUUAGUAGAUUUUUUAAGUGAUAAAUUUAGAUAAUAUUUUUCAUAUUAUUUUAAUUAAAUAAUCAUUUAAAUAAUAAAUAUGAUUUUUUAAGAAUUUUCUAAUGAUGAUAUCACUCAUCAUGUGAUACAUGAAAAUAUAUGACUGACUAAAUAUCUCAACCCUUAGUUCUUAAUGUCCAAAAGAGUAAACUGGAAACUCUAAUAACAUUAGGGACUGAAGUGAGCAAAAAAAACUUUAAGGAUCAAAAUAGAAAAAGUGAUAUACUUUAAGGGUUAAAAUGUGAAUUAAGUAUUAAAAGAUUGAGGAUUGUUAAGGUAAUGUAAAAUAACUUGGAAAAAGGAAAUAUUCUAAAUAUAAGACAAAUUUGAUGAUUUUGGGACGAUAUGUUACGUUAUAAAUGGGUGUUUUAAAAUAUAAAUACAUGUUUUAUUAAUAACUGGAUGUGAUCAAAUUACAAGUUAGAAUAAAUUUAAACUAUAAACUAAUUAAUUAAACUAACAAAUUACGAGUUAUAAUCACUGCAAGAUUUUGUAGCAAGUCUGACCCCUGAAAUAAAUAAUUGAUUAAAUGAGCCGAAAUUGAGCAAAUUUAAUUGCACAAUAUAUAACCAUUCAACACAAAAUAAAACUCAAUAAUAUAGUAAAGAACAUGUGAAUUUUUACGUGAAAAACCCCCCUUAAAGUAAAGCAAAGGGUAAAAAUCACGGGACUUGAAAGUCCACUAAAAAACUUCACUAUACCCAAAAGGUUUAUUACAACAUCACAAUACAAAACCACAAUAAAAAAGCAUACAACUCCAACAAAACUAUUUGGAGAAAAGUAAAGGAUAUCACCCAAAUAUGACUUUAACAUUGAAAAUGAAAAACCUAAAGAUACAAAAUCCGUAUGAAAAAUCCAACCUUGCACAAUCGAAAUAGCCAUUGUCCAAAAAUCAGCUCAGACAGACAUCAGAUAAACCCCUGAAUUGGUGAACUAAAGCUGUCUUUUAUAUUAUAGCUCUUCAAUGUCGAAAAGGAGAACCAUUCACUCUGACUCCAGCCCUAUCAGCAUCUCCCUUCAUAUCCAAAGAGAAUUCAGAAAGUUCAUGAGUGGAUACUGGAAAAUUCAUGGAACAUAAGCAGUACUGGUUUUAACAAAAGGUUAAAACAUGAAAAUCCGUCCUUAAAUUAGAAGCAAUAAAAUAGCAGAAAGAAAGAAUAAAGAAAGAAAUAUAAGAGACUUGUAGUUCCAAACUAAAUGAAUGGUUUAUGGUGUUAUGUUAUUCAAUUUAGUUGUUCAUUGCAAAUGACUAUAUAUAGAAAGAGACUUACCAUAUUCACUAAAUCUUUAUCAAAUCAACACUUAAAAGCCAGUUUGUAAAUUGCAAAGAUAAUCAUAUCAUAGAAUGAAGUGUCAUAAAUUGCAUGAGAAGGAAAUCAAAGUCUUGCAAGAAACUUCCUCAUUGAUCACAACUUAACAUCAGUUCUUGAAAGGAGACACAAAUGCAAUGCAAGACAAGAUACAAACUUCUGAUUAGAAUCCAAAGAAAGGUGAAUUUGUUGUCAAUCACAAAAGAACCAAUCACAAUUCCAAUUCAAAGCUGGUCUUUAUUGGUUGCAUGAUCUAUGAUUCUCAAAUACAAAAGAAUAAAAGUUUGAAAAUAAAAGAAAUUUCCUAAUAAAGCUAGUCGAAGUUAUUCUCCAAGGUCAUACACCACUUACCU